rnacentral:lncRNA from 1 species
AAAAAAAAAAAACAAAACAAACAAAGGCUGGAAGAAUCCUUUAGCUUUCAUCAAGUUGCCCUGCACUCCAAGAAGAAAAGCUUUCUAAUGAAGGAUACAUGCGUGGGGCCUUGUGGCAUCAUUUCUCUCUUUUCUUUAAUUUUCUUUCUUCCUUGAAACUUAAGGUAAAAGAAGAGUUGAGAAACAUCAAAGAUCCUUUUUUCCCUUUUUCUUUGUUUUAUUUCCCCAGGAUCCUCAGCAUGGUCAAAUCGCAAAGCACAUGAUGUGAGACUGUUCGAAAGAACACAAGAAAGGAGAGGAAACUCUAAUGAGGUUGGUAAAUAUGGACAUAGGAAAAUGCCAAAGGUGUUGGUAUUCUGAUUAGUUAGGUCACGGGCAAGAAGCGAAAUCACCACUUGGUUCUUUCUUGAUCAAGCAGUCUUCUUAAUUAUUUUUCUUUUUCCCUUCUGUGUCUUUGGUAACUUCUUAUCAACUGAAAAUUUGGUAUUCUAAGCAAUUAUUUCUAACAAGGUUCACAAAAUGAAAGGCGAAUCCUCUUCAUUUUUAAACAACAGAAACCAGCUUAUCCAUGGGGAAGGGACACAGUGAUAAGAGGAAAGCUGUAUCUUCUAAUGAUUGAUAUGCAAAACAAAUGAAGACGUCCAUCGGUUCCACAAUGUGAACUUAGGAAAGACAAAAACGCGAAAAAGAAACAAGUAAUUAAAUUGAAAACAUAACACACCGGUAAUCACUUAAUUUUCUGAUUCUAUUUUGCGUUGGAGGAAGAGAAAAAAAAUUUAGAGAGACCCAAUUGGAGAAGCUUGAAUGGAUGAAGUGAUCAAAUAGACAUUUCAGACGUACAAAAUAGCUACAAUGAGCAUUCCCAUGGUCAUAUCAAGAGGCCGAUAACAGAAAAAACUCAUAGUACUCAUUCAUCAACCCACUCUGUGAAGCAGUCUCGAGGGAACGGCGAACCUUGCCGAGAAAGACCGUGAUAGGUUCUCCGGCUCGACGGAUGCCGAUCCUUCAUCGAAGUUCUGGGCAUAUGUGUAUGGAUCGUAAGGAGCCUGCAUCGGGGCCGCCGAGUUUAAGAUCCUCCUUUUCUCCUUGAUGAUCCUCCGCCACCACCCUCGCCACCUCCUUCCGGUGGCCCGGGCCGAUGGGUACUCCAAGUCGUCGGCGAAUGUCCGGGUGAAUCCGGAGCUCCUCCGGCGACCGUUGCACCAGCUGCCGACGUCGAGAACCGGGUAUGCACAAGAUCUCUGCCUCUGGAACUCUCGACCGUAAUCCAUGGCAAGCUUGUGCUAGUGGCGGGGUAUGGCCAUAUUUAUAUAUAUUAUAAGCUCUUUGUGGUAUUUGGAUUCGGAUGGGGAUGAAAUAAGUUGUGCUUCUUUGGCCCAAAUUGGGAGCUAACUGUUGGCGUUAUCAGACGGUUGGUAUUUAAAUGUUGCACUCCGUUGGCGUGGCUGGUCUGCCAGUACUGAUGGAACUAUUCAAUGUUCCACCUGUUCUUUGG